AUUGAACGCUGGCGGCAGGCUUAACACAUGCAAGUCGAGCGGGGAAGGUUGCUUCGGUAACUGACCUAGCGGCGGACGGGUGAGUAAUGCUUAGGAAUCUGCCUAUUAGUGGGGGACAACAUUCCGAAAGGAAUGCUAAUACCGCAUACGUCCUACGGGGGAAAGCAGGGGAUCUUCGGACCUUGCGCUAAUAGAUGAGCCUAAGUCGGAUUAGCUAGUUGGUGGGGUAAAGGCCUACCAAGGCGACGAUCUGUAGCGGGUCUGGAGAGGAUGAUCCGCCACACUGGGACUGAGACACGGCCCAGACUCCUACGGGAGGUAGCAGUGGGGAAUAUUGGACAAUGGGCGGAAGCCUGAUCCAGCCAUGCCGCGUGUGUGAAGAAGGCCUUUUGGUUGUAAAGCACUUUAAGCGAGGAGGAGGCUCCUUUAGUUAAUACCUAAAGAGAGUGGACGUUACUCGCAGAAUAAGCACCGGCUAACUCUGUGCCAGCCGCCGCGGUAAUAC
rnacentral:rRNA from 1 species